rnacentral:rRNA from 1 species
GAUGAACGCUGGCGGCGUGCCUAAUACAUGCAAGUCGAACGCUGAAGGAGGAGCUUGCUCUUCUGGAUGAGUUGCGAACGGGUGAGUAACGCGUAGGUAACCUGCCUGGUAGCGGGGGAUAACUAUUGGAAACGAUAGCUAAUACCGCAUGACAACAGUUAUUGCAUGAUAACUGUUUAAAAGGGGCAACUGCUCCACUACCAGAUGGACCUGCGUUGUAUUAGCUAGUUGGUGAGGUAACGGCUCACCAAGGCGACGAUACAUAGCCGACCUGAGAGGGUGAUCGGCCACACUGGGACUGAGACACGGCCCAGACUCCUACGGGAGGCAGCAGUAGGGAAUCUUCGGCAAUGGACGGAAGUCUGACCGAGCAACGCCGCGUGAGUGAAGAAGGUUUUCGGAUCGUAAAGCUCUGUUGUAAGAGAAGAACGAGUGUGAGAGUGGAAAGUUCACACUGUGACGGUAUCUGACCAGAAAGGGACGGCUAACUACGUG